rnacentral:rRNA from 1 species
CCCAGCGUCGAAGCCGGUAACUUUUAGUUGCGUGGCAAUGUGACGUUUGAGUUUGUCAGCUGUGUUACUCUUUAAUGCCUAACUUUCCAUGAUCGGGUCUGCCCAUAGCUGGUGAAAGGCCCUUAAUGGCAUAACAAAGAAUGCACUUUGUCAAACUUUAGAGUCAGGUUGUUUGUGAUUGCAACCCAAAGUAGGUGGUAAACUCCACCCAAGGCUAAAUACAGGCACGAUUCCGAUAGCAAACAAGUACGGUGACGGACAGUUGAAAAGAACUUUGAAGAGAGAGUUCAAAGUACGUGAAACCGUUCAGAGGUAAACGGGUAAAGCCCAUAAGUCUGCAGUGUGCAUGGCUACUGAGCUCAUUACGUGAAAGGUUGGUAUGAGUAAAUUACUCGUGUCUGUCCUUGUUCGCUACUCAGUUGUCAUCUUGUACAUUGUAGUGCGCACCAACAACUUGUAAGUGAGGCUGUGAGGUGGAAGGUAGUUGCCAUUUUUAAUGUCAAUAUUAUAUCCAGUUUAGGUGUAUGAAAUUUAUUUUGUACGCUUACCUCUUACCAGCGUAUAUCUCACUCAACAAGUUAGAAAUGUCGUGUCAAGUACACUGCCAUCUUGUAUGUGCAGCUCUAUUAGCAGUUUGUUCCUGUUGUACACGUGUCCAUUGAGUUGAAUUGCCCAAUGUGUGCAUGUGUCCGGCUACGUUCAGGUUGUGUGUAGUAUGUACUCACGGUUAGGUGCGAUUCGGUGGGUAUCUUACCCGACCCGUCUUGAAACACGGACCAAGGAGUCUAACAUGUGCGCGAGUCAUUGGGUGUUUAAACCUAAAGGCGUAAUGAAAGUAAAGUGUAGCUUCUGGCUUCACAGAGUGGGAUCUUGUUGGUACUUAAAUCAUAUUCAGCAAGCGCACCACUGCCCUGUCACAUGAGCUGCAGUAAUGCAACUUCGACAGCGUAUGAGCGUACAUGUUGGGACCCGAAAGAUGGUGAACUAUGCGAGGCGAAGUCGAAGCCGGAGGAAACUCUGGUGGAAGACUGUAGCGAUUCUGACGUGCAAAUCGAUCGUCGCAGCUUCGUAUAGGGGCGAAAGACUAAUCGAACCAUCUAGUAGCUGGUUCCCUCCGAAGUUUCCCUCAGGAUAGCUGGCACUCUAAUGCACACAGUUUCAUCCGGUAAAGCGAAUGAUUAGAGGCUUUGGGGACAAAAUGUCCUCAACCUAUUCUCAAACUUUAAAUGGGUGAGAUGCCUUGCUCGCAUAAUUGGAGCAUGGCUAUUAAUCGAAUGCGAGUGCCCAGUGGGCCAUUUUUGGUAAGCAGAACUGGCGAUGUGGGAUGAACCAAACACUCGGUUAAGGCGCCUAACUAUAACGCUAAUCGGAUCCCAUUGAAAGGUGUUGGUUGAUUAUGACAGCAGGACGGUGGCCAUGGAAGUUGGAAUCCGCUAAGGAGUGUGUAACAACUCACCUGCCGAAUCAACCAGCCCUGAAAAUGGAUGGCGCUUAAGCGUUUGGCCUAUACCGGGUCGUUGCGGCAAGCAUAUCUGAUAUGCAACAUGCCGCAACGAGUAGGAGGGCGCUGUGGUAGCGUUGAAGCCUUGGGUGUGAACCCGGGUCGAGCUGCCAUAGGUGCAGAUCUUGGUGGUAGUAGCAAAUAUUCAAACGAGAACUUUGAAGGCCGAAGUGGAGAAGGUUUCCAUGUGCACAGCACUUGAACAUGGGUCAGUCGGCCCUAAGUGAUAGGCUAAUGCUAUUCAUAAAGUGGACAUGUCGUAAAUGUAAUGUUGUAAAUGGGUAAUAGUGUGUGUAUCACUCACUACUACUCCUCUUUACACUCAAACAGAACAUAUUUGUCCACAGUCUAUCGAAAGGGAAUCGGGUUAAUAUUCCCGAACCAGGACGCGGAGAUAGGGUUUUCCCUUGUGGAACCCAGUGCGGUAACGCAAACCACCUCGGACACGUCGGCAAGAGUCCCGGGAAGAGUUCUCUUUUCUUUGUAAGGGGUCGAGUCCCUGGAAGCGGUUUACCCGGAGAUAGGGAUAUGGCGACACCCGUAAAGCACCACGGUUUUUGUGGUGUCCGGUGCACAAUUGUCGACACUUAAAAAUCCGAGCGAGACGGUGACAUUUUCGCGCCUGGCCGUACCCAUAUCCGCAGCAGGUCUCCAAGGUGUAAAGCCUCUGGCCUUAGACUGAUGUAGUCAAGGGAAGUCGGCAAAUUGGAUCCGUAACUUCGGGAAAAGGAUUGGCUCUAUGGGCUGGGCCGUUCGGGCUUUGACAAGAAGCGUUCCAGGUACGAGGUUGGGCUGACAGGUGUGUUGCUCACGCGAUACCUUGUUGGACCGUGCCUAGUCCAGGUCGUGGACUGUCUCAGCUUCGCCUUUAUCAUCUCUAUGGUGGUAUUGGUUUCGGACGGCAUCCAGCAGCCA